UCUGAGCAGCCGAGCGGAUUGCGCUCUCCGUGCAGCUUCCCUCCAGAUUGCGUAACUUUUGAACCCGCCGUUACAUUCACCGUUAUUUUUGUCAGGGCCAGCCUUUAAGUUCCUGACUCGUAUUCGUUCAUGAACUGCGGAGCGCCAGACUGCCUUCCACAUCUUCUUUGCUCACGCACAUACCUACGUGCAAGAGAGAAGGCGCGUGAGGGUGAAGACGCCGAUCAUGUACCGUCUGCAGGUGCCGAAAGGGGCACACGAAAACGCCGCCGCCCAAAGGGCCACCACGAAACUCCUGAACUCUAAGAACCCAGUAAGAAGACCUGCUGAAUUAAGGAGCUACAGCCCAGCAGCCUGUUCGAAACCAGGUUUAUCAAGGUCGAUGCCUGUAAUGGACGUUACUCGGAGGCACUCAUAUUUAAUGUUGAUUGCUAGUUUGUCUAGUCGUGUUUACUUUUUGCAAUAAAAAAUGUUAUUGCUGUAUGUGUUUCGUGUAUUGCACAAGCGCAAACCUGCAUGCCGCUGGCCGGCGAAACGCCACAGGGGCAUGGGGAGAGGGAACGAAAGGGAGACGAGGGUGGCUUUAGAGGGGAGGGUGAAAGAAAACGGAUGUCAAAAUCCCGAUUGUAGCAGGAUUCAAUCUGUAUUUUUUAAAUGCUUCUAAUCGUCUUACAAAAUCCCAUUUCAAGACGGGAUUUUUUUAAACUACUUUAAGCAGGAUUCUAGAACUUCUUGCAAUAGUCAUAUUCGCCGGACAUUAGCAACGAUAUACGACCGUUUAUCACCUUCUAAACGGACUGCACGGAUUUUUUAGUGCGUCUUUCAGACGUUCAUUUAGUC